GUAAUGAUUAGAAGAUACAUCCUGAUAAAAAUAAGAUAUAAUCCUAUUUCUAACCAUUUGCAAUUUAUCUCUAUGCCUCAGUUACAUGGUUCUAGUUAGUUAUUUUUAACCAUGUGAGGAACUAUGCUUUUAAUUUUUGGAAGAACAAGGGAUUGGAGGAGGUACUGUCUACUACCACCGGUUUUAUAUUUUUCUUAUUUGAUUGUGUGGAAAGUAAUACUAAUGUUGUUGAGGAUGGACCCUGGUUUUUUGGGGGGCACUUUCUUGUACUGAAAAAGUGGCACAAUAUGAUGAAAUUAUCUGAGGAGAGGCUUGAUAGAAUUCUGAUUUGGAUUAAGUUGUUUAACAUUCCUUUAGAAUAUUGGGAUGAUGAUGGGCUUAGUAGGAUUGCUAGUGCUAGAAUUUCAUUUGCUAAAACAUGUAUGGAAAUAGGAUUGGAUUCUUCUCUUCCUACUGAUUUUCUAAUCAAAUGUGAAGAUCAGGGUGUUGAGCUUGGGGUUGAAUACCUGUGGACUCCAUCCAAGUACUCAAAAUGUAAAGUCUUUGGGUAUAUGGAAGACAAAUGCAUCAAAAAGUGGAGAAUUUGUCCAAAGAAAAACAGCAAAAUGUGAACCAAGAAAGGGAAGAAGACUAGAGGCUUAAUGUUACUCGAGGUAAAAGGAAAAUGGGAGACCCUCUUGAGGUGGCUGUUAUAGCUACUGCAGAAUCUGAAGUGGUAAGUCAUACAGAGGUGGCUGGUAUGGGUGCUGCAGAAGCUAGAGGGUGUAAUCCUGUGGAGAAGAGCUAUCAGAAAGAGGAGGUCCAAGCCCAGGUUAGGACUGUGGUGGUCCAUGAGCAGGACAUCCAGACUGGAGAAAGUGCAUACUGAGCCUACUUGUACAUGACCCUGGACAGGUUGAGCCUGGUUUGAGUCAGUUAACAGUGAAGCAGGCUCCAAAGCCAGCUAAGAAAUCUGAUGAACCUACACUGAAGUUGGCUAAUGUUUUUUUUUUUUUUUUUUUUGUGAAUUUGUUAGCUAACUGUGGCAGGUUUGGCUGGUACAUUGUAGGGAAGAUGGUUGAGUGAUGGGAGUCCUAAAAUAAGUUAGUGAGUGAGAUAGUGCGUUUCUUUGAGGGUUGAGUAUGUGAGCCCUCAAAUUUCUUUCUAACUGUUUGUUCAUGCAGGUCCUAAGUUGUCAUUAGGCAUUCUACAAGGCAUCAGAGCAAAGAUUUGACAGUGAUCCUGAAUUCAAGGAGAGGGCACAACAAGCGGUGGUCAGUCUCCAGGGUGGGGAAGAGAAGUAUCGGAAGGCAUGGGCACAAAUCUGUGAAAUCAGCCGAAGGGGGUAUCAAAGAGUUUAUCAACGUCUAGGAAUUAAGAUAGAGGAGAAGAUGCAACCCAUUUUGAGUACGUGAUGAUAUCUGUUGGAGUUUACUGUUGUCAGUUGAUAUAAAAACAAACUAUGAUAUAUAUGUUUUUUUUUAUUUGUAUUGUCAAUACUUUUGUUUUGCUUUAGAUACAAAAAUUUAAGUUCUUGAAUAUAAAAAAUUAUUAGUAUUGUUGGAGGAUGUUUUAUAUAUUUUUGUAAAGAAUAUUUGGUAGAUAAUUGUUACAGGGUACAUAUAUAUAGAUGAUUUUGUGAA